GAAUGGAGAAGGUGGGGGUGUGGUGGCCAUGCCUGUCAUCCCAGCACUUUGGGAGGCCAAGGCAGGAGCAUCACUUACCAGGAGUUUGAGACCAGGCUGGGCAACAUAGUGAGACCCCAUCUCCACAAAAAUAUUUAAAAAUUUAGCCAAGCGUGGUGAUGUACCUGUAAGUCCCACACAGGAGGUUGAGGUGGGAGGAUCUCUUGAGCCCAGGAGUUCCAGGCUGCAGUGAUCUGUCACAACCAUGGUCACAACCAUGCCACUGCCCCUGAGCUUGGGUGAUAGAGCGUGACCCUAUCUCUAAAAAUUUUGUUUAAAAAGAAUGGGAGAGGAUCUUGAGCUGAUAAGACCCACCGUGUCAGGCACUAAGACAUCUUCUUGCAGUGCUGCUCACUCCUCCCUGGACUGUCUUCAGUGUCAAGAUGAGGCCGCUUCACUAACGAGAUGCGAUGAUUCGUAUGAUGCAAAGCCCACGGCUUACAGAGAGCACGUGAAGAUGGUGUCGGCAGCAGGGUUAUCACAUCCUCUGGCAGGCAGCUUGGGAAGGGAAGUUUCAAUCUGUGUUGAUAUUUUAGCACUGAUUAAAGGUGGAUGUACAAUUAGACCUUUUAAAUUUAAAGACAGUUUGCACUCUAUCAACACCUUGUCUUAUUACAGUUGUAAUCCAUGAGAAAGCAAGUUAAGAAUGAGAAGUCAUGGGCAAAAGUAAUUACACAAUUUCCUCAUGUGGUAUAAAAUGGUACAAAUUGAAAAUCCCAUCAGCUUCACAGCCCUUGACCGACCAAAAUGACAUCCCCCAAUGAAUGCUGGUGGCAGGAGCUUAAGGUGCUUCCUGCUUAGAGAGAUCUGCAUUUCUGUUUAGAAUGAAGCAGGUGUAGAUACCUUAGUUCACAGUGAUGAUUUGGGCUGAGUGCUCACAUUCAAUAGGCACCCGGUUCCAGUGGUUUGCGGGGUUUGAUGAUGCAUUUUUAAAGUGAAGCCGUACCAAUGCAGGCCCAUGCUUCCCUGAGGACGCGGCCUCCGUUCUGCUGAGUGCAAAGGUGGUGCCGAGUGCAAAGGUGGUGCUGGGCACCCACCUCCUCAGCAGCUCCUGCCCCAGCUGCAGUCCAGCCACUGCACUGGGUCCCUAAUGGUCCUGGCGUGGGAGCUGUGGCCUGGGCCUCCUGUGCACUGCACCGUACCCUCGGCUGCCAUGAGCACGGGCACCCCACGGGGACAGCAAGCUCAGCACCCAGUGGGCCUGAUCAGACAGCCACCUGCGUCGUUUCAUGGCUUUCUCCUUCAUGUUGAAGGAGUGACAGGGACACUGAGGGAUGAAGUCCCCACGCUCUGGCCUGCUCUGCUCAGUCAGGGCCGCUGGCAUGGGCCGUUCUUCCCCUGGGACUGCACAGCCUGGACCCCCACCAAGUCCUGUUGCCCACCCUGGCUCAGCUCUCCUCCAGCCCAGCAUGCCUGCCUUCCUCCCUCCUUUCCCCAUACCCGGUCCUGCCAUCUCCCAGCUGCAAGGUCCAUGCCACCCCACAGGAAGAGCCUCAGCGGCUGUCCUCAGACCCCACCCUGUCUGCCCCGACCCUGCCGCCUCACCAAAUUCUAAGCACACCAUGACCCGGCCUGCCCUGGUGUGCUGCCCAUGGCCCGGCGUGACCCAGUGUGCUGCCCAUGGCCCAGCGUGACCCAGUGUGCUGCCCACGGCCCAGCCUGACCCGACCCGGUGUGCUGCCCGCGGCCCGGCCUGACCCGGUGUGCUGCUCUGGGAAGGAAGCCUGGUGGGAACAGUGCUCACUCACUCACUCUGUCACUCGCUCACUCCUUCACGCCUUGUCUCUGGCAGCUUUCGCCACAGGCAGAGCUGCGUGGUCACGGUGGACUGCCCGACCCACAAAGCCUCCGACACUCACUCUCCAGCCCGUUACAGAAACCUUUUCUCAAGAUUGUAGAACAGCAGUUCUGCAAACGGGGCCCCUGAGCACCAGCUGGAGGUCGUUAAAAACGCAGACUCUUGGGCCCCACCCCAGAGGUUCAGAACAUGUCCUGGAGGCAAGGCCAGCAAGCCAUUGGGAGCAGCCCCCAGGGACCUCAAUGGCACUGGAGCCGAGUACCACUCACAGCUGCAGUCCAAGAGCUCCUGAAGACAAACCCCUGCCCCCUGCCAGCUGGGAGCUCCUCCACAGUAGACACUCAGCAAAUGCCUGCUGGCCGGAGCAGCGGCAGGGAAGGUAGACGACUGCAAGGCAUUGGAAACGGCCCCUCUGCAUCAGGAGACACCCUGGGUGCAGGAGGAGGCUUCGCUGAAAAGCAUUGCAACAGCAUUAUCACAUACGUGGAAAUAAGAAUUGCAUCUCAACCCUUCCCUUGCCCUCCACCCAUCUAACAUGCCUCAGCCCUCCUGUGGCCAUAGUAACCUGAACAGUAACUACAGCAGCAGGCUGCUUAGGUGCCAGGUGUAAGAAGAGAAAUUUCAUGAAAACAGGAAAAUAUAGCCUGCUUUUCUCCCCAGCUCUAACCUUUCAACCUAUAACUACUCCCUACUGUAAUUUUUGUGGGAUUUGCUGAUAUUGAAGGAAGAUGAUUG
rnacentral:lncRNA from 1 species